AUACACCACGUUGUCGGUUGCUCGUGCACGAGGUCGGCCAUACUGCUAAUUCAGAUAAAUAUUAUCAGUUCAGGCACGCCAAAUGAAUCAAUAGCCUGGACUUUGGCUUCAAGUGGUUUUACUUGCCCACCACCAACAACAUGCCCAAGAAAAACUAUAGUAGCCUUGCUAAACUCGCUUUUAUUCAAAUUGACUGUCAACUUUGCUUUUGAAAGUCUACAAAAGAGCUCCUUCAUCUGGAUAACAUGCUCAUUCCAAUCAUGACUAUAAAUUACAAUAUCAUCAACAUAAGCUUGACAUCUAUGCAUUCCAGCAAUUACCCGAUUGAUCAAACGUUGGAAAGUCGCCUGAGAAUUUUUCAUUCCAAACAGGCAAACUAAAUAUUCAGAGACCAUCAGCAGUUACAAAAGCAGAAAUUUCUCUAUCUCUCAUGGUUAACGGUAUUUGCCAAUAACCCUUCAGAUGAUCAAACCUACUAGCAUAGUUAGCAUUUCCUGUUUUGUCUAUACAAUCAUCAAUUCGUGGAAUAGGAAAAGAAUCGGAUUUUGUUACAGCAUUUACUUUACGAAAAUCUGUACAAAAUCUUACACCGCCAUCAGGUUUAGGAACCAACAAACAAGGAGAACUCCAGUUACUAAAACUGGGUUGAAUAAUAUUAUUCUCAAUCAUAUAUUCAACCUAGUUUCGAAGAAGUUCCUGUUUUUGAGGACUAACUUGAUAAGCAUGUUUUAUUGGCCUUGAUUCACCAACAUCAACAUCAUGUUCAAUGACACUUGUUCGACUAGGAACAUCAGGAAAAAUACUACUGAAUUCACCAAUGAUGUUUCUAACAUCAAUUUGCUGUUUUUCACUUGAAUGUUUCAGUUUUACAUCCAAAUUCAACAACACUUUUGAAUUUAUCAAUUUUGGUUCAACUGAACUGAAAACAUCUUUUGGUUUUUCAUCCUCACUAUUUAACCCUGUUAAAGCUAUAGUGUUCGCCAUUACCUUUUCUCGGUUAUGAUAUUCUUUUAGCAUAUUUAUAUGACAAAGCUGGGUUUUCUUUUUACGAUGAGGUUUACUGAUCACAUAAUCAACAUCAUUGACCUUUUCUUUAACAACAUAAGGUCCUUGAAAUUUCCCUAGCUUUUUUGUCAAACCAGAUUUUCAUCUUGUUUUGAGUAUGCAGUAACACUUCUUGUGAUACUUCUCUAACUGUUUGCAUUUGCUCUUUCAAAUCCAUAACAUACUUCAAAGCAUUAGUUUCAUUUUUCACCUUAGAACCUAUCCAAGAUUCAUACAACAUUUGUAAUGGACCACGAAUGUUAUGCCCAUACAACAUUUCAAAUGGAGUAAAUACCAAUGAUUUAUGAUAAGUAUCCCUAACAGCAAACAACAAUAAAUGAAUUCCUUCAUCCUAAUUGUUACGUUUUUUUCCCAUACAAUACUUUCUGAUCAUUGACUUUAAAGUUCCAUGAAAUCGUUCCAAAGGACCUUGAGUUUCAGGAUAAAUAUUAUCAGUUCAGGUGACUUUCGGCUCAUUCCGUAAAUGUGUGUUCCACGAUUGACAUCAAUAUAUUGGCCGCUUUCACUAACUUCCUCAAUAGCUCAGUCGGUUACGCAGAGGUCAGACAAGCUGUCGUCAAGAGUUCGAAUCCCCACGAAGGUAGGUGUAACUUAAAAAAUAGUACUUAAUUGAAUUAAUGUGUGAAUACAUUGAACGUUACAAAGUAGAAAGGAUGGUUAACAGAAGAAAGGAAGGUAAGAACAUAAACAGAAGAAAGGAAGGUUUAAAAAAAAAUCUUUAUUCUUUACUUGUUAUUCCCCCACAAAAGACCAUGCCCCUCUUUUCUAUAUAAGCCCCAUCAAAAAAUCCCUCUUUAUAUUGAACUAUAACUGGGGGAAAUUCGGAACUCUUUCCUAACAAUGCCGUAAUUAUUUAUUUCACAGUUCAUUACACAUUUACGUGUGUCACAAUAAGUUCACGAAUUUUCACACAGGGAUCCAAAUUUCACAUAUCGAUGUCCGCCACGCAGUCCAACAAAUUAUAUAUACACUAUCCCAGAAUAGCAUAACAAAGCGAACCCAAUUAAAGUACACACAAAAGGCUUCUAUCAAACGAAAUGCGAAUGACCCAAAUAAUGUUAUGAGUACUGCGUAACAUAUACUAGAUAAACAAUGCGGUACACUAAGAGUGACCUCGUGAGAAUAGCAACCAGUGACGGCCUGGCCUGUCUUAUAUAUCU
rnacentral:misc_RNA from 1 species